CUACCUACUAACAAAGUUACAUGGAAAUAUUUUUUAUUUCCCACAGAGCCUUGGUGAAUUCUUGCCACUACCUGGAAUGUGUUUUCAAUUUAGAACAUCACCAAAUGAGACUUUUUCCCUUUGAAGUGGUUGUGAUCAUUCUUUGGAAGGAGAUAAGGUUGUGGUCAUUUCAGCUAGACAUCUAUGAAUUCAUCAGCACAAUGGUUUCCUCCUCAAGGUUUUGAUGGCAUGAAGAAUCUGAGACAUGAGCCUCUCGUUCCUGCUUCCUAUCAAAAAGUUUGCAAUUCUGUUUUUUUCCCAGAGGACAACCAUAAAUAUUUCUCCCCCACAUCUCUUGGAACCCUCUCAAAAGUAGCAUCUUGGAGCAGAUGUGGCUGAAGCCUUUGAGUGCCUGCUUCCUACAUGGGAGAAUAAACAAGCAAAAAAACAGACAACAAGCAAAUUAACAACAAUAACAAAAAACAACUCAAGGGAACCUAUGUGGCUCAGUGGUUGAGUUUUGGCUUCCCACAUAUGAGGUCCCAUGUUCAAUCCUGGGACCUGGGACCUCAGAAAAAAAAGGUAACAUCUUGGGCUUUCCAUUUCAUGGCCUCCACCAUUUUUUUUUUUUUUUUUUUUUUUUUGGUCUUUAGCAUUUGUUUUUAUCUUCCUACCUAAUUUAAUUCCUAAUUUUAAGACCCAGAAACAUACAUGAGGGGCACUGACCAAGAGGCUUUCCAGUAGAAAAUUUAACAAGUCUCUCUUUGCAGAUAGAAAUAACCAACAUUUACAUAGAGCUUAUUAUGUGCCUAGUA
rnacentral:lncRNA from 1 species